GCGCCCUCCCCGGGGGCCCUCACCCACCCCUAGGGCCCGGGGCCCUUCACCCUCCAGCUCCAGCUCCUCCAGCAGCGGCAGCCCCACACCUAAGCUGGAGCGGACCCCCCGGGCCCAUCCUCUCCCCCCUCAACCCAGAUUCGACCCUCGCUUGUGGCUCCAGUCGCAGGUCUGAGAAGAAGAGGAAGAGGAGGAAAAAGAGAGUGUUGGCUGCAGUUGCCUUCCUGACUUGACCAGUGACUUCCAGCAACAGGAGAAGGGUUGCCCAGGCCAGCCGUCCAGUAAGGAGUUCUUGGUCCACUUGGACACUUUCCUGAUUCUACCUGGCAAGUGGGGUCUGUACCCUGAUGGAACUGAGGUGUUUUUUUUGGGGGGGGGGACAAAGAGCCCCUUGGGACUGUGGGGUCCAUCUUGACUGGAAGUCCUUUGUCUCAGGAGCAAAAGCACCUUCCUUCCUUCCUUGGUGAGAAACUGGAAUGACUUGGCCUGGACAGUGGAGGAACAUUUGUAUGGCGGUGCAGGGUGGGCUGCCGGCUGCACAUGGGCUCUCCCCCCCCCCCCAGCACAAGCAGGGGGGUCCCCCUUGCACCUUCCCGGCAGCCCCCCCCCCCAGAAAUGGUGCCCCUUCCCACUAGGCUCUCCUCCUCCUAACCAUCCCAUCGCCUUUUGCUUCAGGGAUCUUUUGUGUGCCAAUGUGGGGGGCAGGGAGGGUCUCCAAGCACAUGUGCCCCACUCAGUUUGUGUCUGUUUCAAGGAGGGGGGCUGCCUCCCCUCUUUACUAAUCAUUAAAAAGUAUUUCAGAGGUUUUUUCCCCCA